CCGAGGAUUACCGAAGAUUCUGAUGAAUCUAACUAUCAAUUGAUACAAUUGCUGAAAAUGAUGAGUAACUGUUGCAUUACUCUCGAUGCACAGCUUUUAUGAAAACUGAUUGGAGUCUCUAUUAAUGAGCUGAUGAUCUGCAUCAGGUGUGUUUGAUUAAGGAGACAUUGAAAACCUGCUGUGUUGGGGGGCCUACAGGAACGUGGUUAAAGGAUUUUUAGGCUGCAUUAAUUAUUACAACUGGAACCGGGAACACUUUCCAUAACACCCGAUGUACUUGCUACAUCGUUAGAAGAAUGGCAUCUACGCUAAUAUUAGUCUGUUUCUCUCUUAUUCCGAGGUCACCGUAGCCACCAGAUCCAGUCUGUAUCCAGACCAGAUGGUGGAUCAGCACCUAGAAAGGACCUCUACAGCCCUGAAAGACAGCGGAGACCAGGACUAGAGCCCCAGAGACAGAUCCCCUGUAAAGACCUUGUGUCAGACAACCACCGGGACAAGACCACAGGAAACAGAUGAUUCUUCUGCACAAUCUGACUUUGCUGCAGCCUGGAAUUGAACUGCUGGUUUCGUCUGGUCAGAGGAGAACUGGCCCCCGACUGAGCCUGGUUUCUCCCAAGGUUUUUUUCUCCAUUCUGUCACCGAUGGAGUUUUGGUUCCUUGCUGCUGUCGCCUCUGGCUUGCUUAGUUGGGGACACUUCAUUUACAGCGAUAUCAUUGACUUGAUUGCAAAUUAUUGCACAGAUACUAUUUAAACUGAACUGAGCUGCAUGAUGACAUCACUGAAUUCAAUGAUGAAAUGCCUUUAACUGAAAAAUUAGUGUUUUCUAUUGUCCUUCUGCAUUUUUGACACACUGUUUUCCUAAUUAAUGCUGUACAGUUGCUUUGACACAAUCUGUACUGUUAAAAGUGCUAUAUAAAUAAAGGUGAUGACUUGUCUUUGUCUUUUUAGAGGGUGAUGGAGCUGGAUGCUGAGGAAAACCAUCACAAAUUCAUAUGUUUGGAUGAUUCAGGCUUUAAUCUGGCCAAGACGUGGAGGAGAG
ensembl:lncRNA